CCCUUAGAUGUUCUGGGCCGCACGCGCGCUACACUGAUGCAUUCAACGAGUUUCUUCCUGGUCCGAGAGGAAUGGGUAACCUUUUGAAAGUGCAUCGUGAUAGGGAUAGACUAUUGCAAUUAUUGGUCUUCAACGAGGAAUUCCUAGUAGACGUAGUUCAUCAGACUGCAUCGAUUACGUCCCUGCCCUUUGUACACACCGCCCGUCGCUCCUACCGAUGGAAUGCUCAGGUGAGCCAUUCGGACUUUCAUCAUGCUGGUUUCCAGUUUUGAUGAAGGAAAGUCUUGCGAACCUUAUCAUUUAGAGGAAGGAGAAGUCGUAACA
rnacentral:rRNA from 1 species